GGCCCUGUAGCUCAAUUGAAUAGAGUGUCAGAUUCCGGUUCUGAAGGUUCUGGGUUUGAGCCCCAGCAGGGUCA
rnacentral:tRNA from 1 species